AAUAUGAAUUGCUGGCUGCACACGAGACACUCUGCUAGACAUCGGAGAUCCCGCUGUGAACAAGUGUCACAAGGCGCCUCCUGCUUCCAUGGAGCUGGGGUCACAGCAGGCAAAGAACAAGGAAGUAAACAACCGAGGGCAGGAAGUGUUGUCACCUGAUGGCUCAACAUAAACUGCCUGAGAUGGUGCCAGCUUUCGCGGGCAGCACUGGGCUUUGCUUGUGGCCAGGAGUCUCCUCUGCAGCUUCCUGAGCCUGGACAAAAGUCUUCCUGACAUGUUUAACUGUGACCAGUGCAAUUUUGGCUUUGACACUAUGCAAGAUUUUGGAACUUGAGAUAUGCUCUGUAAUGCCUACAAAGAACAAAAAGGAGCACUUAGGUUACAACAUGAAUUGUGUUUGGUUUACAUAAAGCAAGCAAAAAGGAGAAAGUCAUUAAAACAGCAUUUGUCAAGCCUGUAAUCCCAGCACUUUGGGAGGCCGAGGCGGGUGGAUCACGAGGUCAAGAGAUCGAGACCAUCCUGGACAACAUGGUGAAACCCCGUCUCUACUGAAAAUACAAAAAAAUUAGCUGGGCAUGGUGGCGCGUGCCUGUAAUCCCAGCUACUCAGGAGGCUGAGGCAGGAGAAUUGCCUGAACCCAGGAGGCAGAGGUUGUGGUGAGCCGAGAUCGCACCAUUGCACUCCAGCCUGGGUAACAAGAGCAAAACUCCGUCUCAAAAAAGAAAAAAAACCAGCAUUUGAUGUCUCUAAUAAACGAAGCCUAUUUAAAAAUGUGUAUG